UACGGGGGGGGGCAAGCGUUGUUCGGAAUUACUGGGCGUAAAGGGCUCGUAGGCGGCCAACUAAGUCAGACGUGAAAUCCCUCGGCUUAACCGGGGAACUGCAUCUGAUACUGGAUGGCUUGAAUUCGGGAGAGGGAUGCAGAAUUCCAGGUGUAGCGGUGAAAUGCGUAGAUAUCUGGAGGAAUACCGGUGGCGAAGGCGGCAUCCUGGACCGAGAUUGACACUGAGGAGCGAAAGCCAGGGGAGCAAACGGG
rnacentral:rRNA from 1 species